rnacentral:rRNA from 1 species
CCAGACUCCUACGGGAGGCAGCAGUCGGGAAUAUUGCGCAAUGGAGGAAACUCUGACGCAGUGACGCCGCGUAUAGGACGAAGGUCUUCGGAUUGUAAACUAUUGUCGUUAGGGAAGAGAAAGGACAGUACCUAAGGAGGAAGCUCCGGCUAACUACGUGCCAGCAGCCGCGGUAAUACGUAGGGAGCAAGCGUUAUCCGGAUUUAUUGGGUGUAAAGGGAGCGCAGACGGCAGUGCAAGUCUGGAGUGAAAGCCCGGGGCCCAACCCCGGAACUGCUCUGGAAACUGUGCGGCUAGAGUACUGGAGGGGCAGGCGGAAUUCCUAGUGUAGCGGUGAAAUGCGUAGAUAUUAGGAGGAACACCAGUGGCGAAGGCGGCCUGCUGGACAGUAACUGACGUUGAGGCUCGAAAGCGUGGGGAGCAAACAGGAUUAGAUACCCGUGUA